UACAGAGGGUGCAAGCGUUGUUCGGAAUUACUGGGCGUAAAGCGCGUGUUAGGCUGCGGUGUAAGUCGGACGUGAAAGCCCUUGGCUUAACCAAGGAAGUGCAUCCGAUACUGCGUCGCUUGAGUGCCGGAGGGGGUGGCGGAAUUCCCGGUGUAGAGGUGAAAUUCGUAGAUAUCGGGAGGAACACCUGUGGCGAAGGCGGCCACCUGGACGGUAACUGACGCUGAGACGGCGAAAAGCGUGGGUAGCAAACCAGG
rnacentral:rRNA from 1 species